GGGGAAAAAAAAAUACAGCAAAGAAAAAAAGCCACUUCAAAUAGUUCAGCUAGUAGCAAAUCUGAAUCAAAUCCUCGUACUUUCAGAUGAGAGAAAUGCAGCUGAGUUGAAUGUUGAGGGCGUGAAAUCUUCAGGAAGUUGCUAGAAGAUCUGGGAUAUCUACAGAAAGGAAACAAGCGAAACUCCUCACUGCUGCCAAGAGGUAAGGAACUCCCCUCAUAAUGGAGAAAUUGAUGGAUCUGGUUUCCCUUCAGGAGAAAGAAAUGCAGCUGAUCUGAUCUCCUAGGAAUUGAGGACUAUAUGCAGUCAUAUUACUGAAGAACAAACACACACACAUUGCCAGACCUGCAAAAAGUUGCCUUCCUUGACUCGAAUGGGAAGACAAACACUUAUCACCUUCAUGUCUCAAACCCACAAUGCAGCAGACCAUCACUGACAAGGAGGAGAAGAGUUACAGAUGCUCAGGAUUUGAGUACGAAGGAAUAGGAAUGGAGCUAAACAGAUCCAACACAUGAAAGGACGAUUGGAUCUCAAAAUAUGAAACCAGGAAAAAGACCCUACAUUCAAUAAAGCAACAGGAUUGGCUAAGGAGAGGUAAGCAGCAUUUGGUGUCUAACAAAUGACCAUAGCAAUUUUGUAGCGCUGAUUGUAACUUAUGUUGUGCCAAAGGUUUGUUACAGCUGAUCACACAUCUCAGGAGCUAAGAGGAUGUGAGGGGGACGGCAGAUGUCAGAGGAUUCAUUUUUAUUAGGAGAUGGUGAACCUGCUUGUCACAUAAUGUUCAAAAGUUGCUGCUGGGAUGGAAGCAAAGAAGAAAGCCCUGGAGAUGGGUUAGUGCUGGGACACAGACACUAUCCUGGAGGAGCCGGGGGUAUGUAACCAUAGCAACCAGUCGGUCCUUUCCCCGCUGUGGUCCUGGCUCACAUGCACAGGGUGAAACCGAUCGCCAUGUUUGGGGUCAGGAAGGAAUUUUCCUCCAGGGCAGAUUGGCCAGAGCCUUGGAGGUUUUUCGCCUUCCUCUGGGGCAUCGAGCAGGGACCAACCCUUAGGACCAUUUAGGAAAAGACAGACAAUAAAAUCCAUCAGAGAGA